rnacentral:tRNA from 1 species
GCUGAGAUAGCUCAACGGCAGAGCAGCUGUAUCGUAAACAGCAGGUUCCGAGUUCAAGUCUCGGUCUCAGCU